rnacentral:rRNA from 1 species
AUUGAACGCUGGCGGCAUGCCUUACACAUGCAAGUCGAACGGCAGCAUGGAAGAGCUUGCUCUUCUGAUGGCGAGUGGCGAACGGGUGAGUAAAGCAUCGGAACGUACCGUGUAGUGGGGGAUAACGUAGCGAAAGUUACGCUAAUACCGCAUACGCACUGAGGUGGAAAGCAGGGGAUCGCAAGACCUUGCGCUAUACGAGCGGCCGAUGUCAGAUUAGCUAGUUGGUAGGGUAAAGGCCUACCAAGGCGACGAUCUGUAGCGGGUCUGAGAGGAUGAUCCGCCACACUGGGACUGAGACACGGCCCAGACUCCUACGGGAGGCAGCAGUGGGGAAUUUUGGACAAUGGGCGAAAGCCUGAUCCAGCCAUGCCGCGUGAGUGAAGAAGGCCUUCGGGUUGUAAAGCUCUUUCGGCUGGGAAGAAAUCGCACAGGCUAAUACUCUGUGUGGAUGACGGUACCAGCACAAGAAGCACCGGCUAACUACGUGCCAGCAGCCGCGGUAAUACGUAGGGUGCGAGCGUUAAUCGGAAUUACUGGGCGUAAAGCGUGCGCAGGCG